rnacentral:lncRNA from 1 species
GGCCUGUCUGGGUAAUACAAAUGAAUUCUGUCCUGAAAAUAUUCCUUGUCUGUGUAAAAAUGAAGAACCUUUUUGCAGAUGUAAUUACUACAGAACAGGCUGGAUGGAGUACUGGUACAUGGGCCCCAAAUGUAACCACCUUUGGAACACUCUGGAUUUCAUUUUAGUGGCCACUCUUCCUGGAGUGGCCCUGGUUAUCAUAGUGGUUGUAAUAUUUUCUGCUGUCUGCUGCUUGAAAACGAAAAAAGAUGGGCAGCAGCCCAAGGCCCCAUCCAGUGGAGCACAGCAGAACCCUGCAUUCAGCACUGACACAGCUGCCAGCCCAGGGCAUGGGCACCAUCAGCCACCUGAGGAUGCCUGGGUUGGACAAAUUCCAAAAGUUGUACUGAAAAGAGAAGAUUUCAAUGAUGCCUCAAUCCCAAAUCAAAGGCAGGAUUACAGUUCCAUGUAUGAUCAGCCUCUAAGGACAGCAGAACCAGCAUCAGAUUAUUUCCCUCAGUCCCGAGCCCAGCGGGAGGAGUUUGACUAUCCCAGGAAGGAUUUGCCUUAUCCAGUUUAUCCAGAGGCCAGACAGUACCGGAGAUACUAAGAACAAGUGCUUCCUGUGUCAGAAAUGUCUUGGAAUGCUGUGUGAUCACUGGACAGUGCAGGUGCUCAGAGAGCAGUGACAGCCUGGUGGGGCACACAGGGAAUUGCCAUCCUUAUUAGAGAGCACUAAGUUAUUGCAAAGAGAAAGAAAGCACGGGGGAUAAUUGUGAAAGGAAACCUGGUGAAUCCCUGAUACUGCAGCACACAAGGCUCUGGCCCUGGCAGUGUGGUACAAACACAGCCAAGGACUUGGCUUCUCUCUGCCCCAAGAUUUACCAAAUACCCACAGACCCAUUCCCUUGUCCCUUGUCUUUUGUGCUUUGUCUUCCUUCUGUGUUGAUCCCAACAGCUGGAAUGGUUUCCCUUUAAAACUGUCCUGGUUUGCUUUGUAACUCUUUUGUAAAUGAGGAAAAUAAAUGAAGCUGUGGAAGACUGACUACCUUGCCA